AACGCACAUUGCGCCCGCCAGUAUUCUGGCGGGCAUGCCUGUUCGAGCGUCAUUUCAACCAUCAAGCCCCCGGCUUGUGUUGGGGACCUGCGGCUGCCGCAGGCCCUGAAAUCCAGUGGCGGGCUCGCCGUAGCACCGAGCGUAGUAGCACACUUCUCGCUCCGGUAGCAGCGGCGGGCGCCUGCCGUAAAACCCCUAUCUCAAGGUUGACCUCGGAUCAGGUAGGAAUACCCGCUGAACUUAA
rnacentral:misc_RNA from 1 species